GGAGAAAUACUCAAGUAUGGCUGAAGAGGCGCCCCUGCUAAGGGUGUAGAUCGGGCAACCGGUGCGAGGGUUCAAAUCCCUCUUUCUCCG
rnacentral:tRNA from 1 species